UACGGGGGGAGCAAGCGUUGUUCGGAUUUACUGGGCGUAAAGGGCGCGUAGGCGGCGCAACAAGUCACUUGUGAAAUCUCCGGGCUUAACUCGGAGCGGCCAAGUGAUACUGUCGUGCUAGAGUGCGGAAGGGGCUACUGGAAUUCUCGGUGUAGCGGUGAAAUGCGUAGAUAUCGAGAGGAACACCGGCGGCGAAGGCGGGUAGCUGGGCCGACACUGACGCUGAGGCGCGAAAGCCAGGGGAGCGAACGGG
rnacentral:rRNA from 1 species